rnacentral:rRNA from 1 species
GUCCUAGCCCUAAACGAUGGGUACUAAGUAGAGGAGACUCCGAUGUUUCUCUGCCGGAGCUAAUGUAUUAAGUACCCCGCCUGGGGAGUAUGGUCGCAAGGCUAAAACUCAAAGGAAUUGACGGGGCUCACACAAGCGGUGGAGCAUGUUGUUCAAUUCGAAGCAACGCGAAGAACCUUACCUGGGUUUGACAUGCUUGGGACAGCCUAUGAAAGUAGGUUUCCUCUAUGAGGCCCUUGCACAGGUGUUGCAUGGCUGUCGU